AAUUGCACAAGUCGACCUCUCAAAUGCCAUGAAUUGGCCAUGUAUCAUAGUAAACAUAAUAGUUGCAGUAUUUUGACAAUCGGACAAACUUUCAAUCGGUGGUCAUAAUUCCAUUCCACCUUUUUUCCACAUAAUAUAUUUGUCAUUCACUUUAUCAACAUUCAAAAAGCUAGAAAAUUUAAUUGUUGAAGAUAAGAAAAUAGCAUCACUAAAUAAGGUAAAUGUCAAAACUUUCAAAAACUUUGAUGUUCGUAAUCCCUCAAAAAAACAAUCUAAUAAAUAUUUAAUAUGCAUAAAAAAAUUUCUCUUGCUUUACACAUCCCAGCCAGUAGGAGCAGGGGUGGUGGCUGCUGCACCUGCAAAUUGCGGUGGAGGAGCCGCUGCACCUGCAAAUUGCGGUGGAGGAGC
rnacentral:misc_RNA from 1 species